rnacentral:rRNA from 1 species
AUUUUGGUUUGUUUGUCUUUCGGGGCAUUCAGGUCAACUUGGCUUUUACUCACUGUUGUCAUUGUCUUUGCCCAAGGUAUAUGCCUUGUGUGCAUGGCAUUGACCUUCUAUUUUAUGGUAAUGUUGUAUCUUUCGGGGUACAUUCAUUCCAUAUAGUUUACUUUGAAAAAAUUAGGGUGUUUAAAGCAGGCGAAAUAGGCUUCGGAAUAUAUUAGCAUGGGAUAAUAGAAUACGAUCUAGGUCGUAAUUUGUUGGUUUCUACGGCUUAGGUAAUGAUUGACAGGGAUAGUUGGGGUCGCUCGUAUUGAGUUGUCAGAGGUGAAAUUCUAGGAUUAACUCAAGACGAACUAAUGCGAAAGCAUUCGGCAAGGAUGUUUUCAUUAAUCAAGAACGAAAGUUGGGGGAUCGAAGAUGAUCAGAUACCGUCGUAGUCUCAACUGUAAACUAUGUCGACCGAGGAUCCGGUAGCGUUACAUGGAUGACCUUCCGGGCACUCUGUGAGAAAUCAUAAGUAUUUGGAUUUCGGGGGGAGUAUGGUCGCAAGGCUGAAACUUAAAGGGAUUGACGGAAGGGCACCACCAGGAGUGGAAUCUGCGGCUUAAUUUGACCCAACACGGGAAAACUUACCAGGUCCGGACACAGUGAGGAUUGACAGAUUGAGAGCUCUUUCUUGAUUUUGUGGGUGGUGGUGCAUGGCCGUUUUUAGUUGGUGGAGUGAUUUGUCUGGUUAAUUCCGUUAACGAACGAGACCUUAACCUAUUAAAUAGCUGCGCGAACCCAGGUUCUUUAACCAUUCUCUCCUUCGGGGGGGCGUGGUAUCAUUAUUUUGCUUUUCACUUUCGGGUGGGAGGUAGGGUAGUGAUAGGGCCUGAGAUGAGUUGGUGAUUUGGCUUCUUAGAGGGACUACUUGCAUCCUUAGCAAGGGGAGGUUUGAGGCAAAAACAGGUCUGUGAUGCCCUUCGAUGUUCUGGGCUGCACGCGCGUUACACUGGCGCAUGCAAAGAGUUUAAAAUUCCUGUCCCGAUGGGGUUGGGAAAUCUUUUUAAAGUGCGUCGUGAUGGGGAUAGAGCAUUGAAAUUAUUGCUCUUGAACGAGGAAUUCCUAGUAAUUGCAGGUCAUCAACCUGCAAUGAUUACGUCCCUGCCCUUUGUACACACCGCCCGUCGCUCCUACCGAUGGUUGAACCGAUGAGGACUCGGGAUGAUCUUAUUAGAUCGGUCGGUCGAAAGAUCGAUAGACUAUUAGGUCAGAACUUGUUCAAAUCUUUUUAA